rnacentral:misc_RNA from 1 species
AUAACGCCCCGUUUUUGUCGCAAGAUUUAAAUGGGUUCAAUACCCAAAACCGUGUCUACCUACCUUUGUUGCUUUGGCAGGCCGCCUUCGGGCGUCGGCUUCGGCUGAUUAGCGCUUGCCAGAGGCCCAAAACUCUGUGUUUAGUGAUGUCUGAGUACUAUAAAAUAUUUA